ensembl:lncRNA small Cajal body-specific RNA 10
GGACCUUUGGCCUGUUAAAGGUCUGUAAUCUUGGUGGGCGAUACAGAGUUAUGUGUGUUCACUGUAAGGGCAGACCAACAAGAACUUUUUCCUACUUUUGAGCUACCUCUUUUUAAUAGGGGUGAUUCUUCCAGUUGCUGGAGAGAAAUUGUGGUAACUGGAGUGAGAGAGUAGGAACAGGGCAUGUUCAGGGUAUCAGGGCCAAGGGUCCUAAAGGACUUAGCUUGUGUUAUGGCCACUGAGAGAUG